AUGGAAAUACAGAUGGAGAUAGAGAUGGAGCAACACAUGGAGAUGGAGCUAGACAUGGAGAUGAACAUGAAUGGGAGCAGCACCAAGGUGGACAAGACCAUUGCAGCUACCUGUGUUACUCCACCUACCCCAUGUCCACCAUGUCCACCUCCUGAAAUCCUGGGGGGACCAUCYGUCUUCAUCUUCCCCCCAAAGCCCAAGGACACGCUCAUGGAGUCCCUGACCCCCAAGGUCACAUGCGUGGUGGUAGAUGUGAGCGAGGAUGAACGCGAGGUCGAUUUCAGCUGGUAUGUAGACAACGUGGAGGUGAAAACAGCUGAGACGCAGACACAGGAGAAGCAGCACAACAGCACAAUCCGCGUGGUCAGUGUCCUCCCCAUCAAGCACCAGGACUGGCUGAAUGGCAAGACAUUCAAGUGCAAGGUCAACAACAAAGCCCUGCCCGCCCCCAUUGAGAGGACCAUCUCCAAAGCCAAAGGGCAACCCCGGGCGCCAGAGGUGUACGUCUUGCCCCCGGCCCAGGAGGAGCUGACCAAGAACACCGUCAGUCUGACCUGCUUGAUCCAAGGCUUCUUCCCUGCCGACAUCUCUGUGGAGUGGGAGAAACAGGGGCAGCCGGAGCAGGACUACAAGACCACCGAGCCCAUCCUGGAAUCCAACACUUCCUACUUCCUCUACAGCAAGCUCAGGGUGGACAGGAACAGUUGGCAGGGAGGAGCCCGAUUCACAUGCUCAGUGAUGCACGAGGCUCUGCACAACCACUYCACCMAGAAGASCYUGUCSCRGUCCCCGGGUAAAUGAGCCUGGCGAGUCCUCACCCCACGAGGACACUGUCACCUUCCCUCACCUGCCCGUGUUAAUAAAGCACCCAGCCUGCCCUGGGACCCUGUGA